GCCGAUUUGGUCCUAGUCCCAACUUUAGCUAAUUUCAAGAUGCCACAUGCAAGCUUGCUAGCAAACCAGUGAAGUAAAAUUUCCCCCUUUUUUAACUCUAAAGAUAAUAAGGCAGAAACUCUAGUAUCAGGAAAAUAAUAAAUACCUACGACACUAGGCAAUACGCCACAACUGCAGUGCUAAACAUUAGACAAUCGAAAAUAUUCGGAUCUAGCGAAGAAAAUAACAAGGGGGUAAAAUACGUGCCAGCCACCGCGGUUAUACGUAUACCCUAAAGCUAAAUAAUACGGUUAAAAGGGUGGUUAGAAGCAAUAAAGAUUGGUAAUAGCUCCCAGCUAGUGGUAAAAAACUAAUCUGAGAAGAAACUUUUUUGCCAAACUAAAUAUUUGAACCCACGAAAACUAAGGCCUAAACCAGGAUUAGAUACCCUGUUAUACUUAGACGUAAACAACCUAAGCACCAGAGAACUACGAACCUAAAGUUUAAAACUCAAAGGACUUGGCGGUUUUCCAAACCUCCCUGGAGGAGCUUGCCAUUGAAUCGAUAAUCCACGAAAUACCUCACCAGCUUUUGUAUAAUCAGCUUGUAUACCAUCGUCGUAAGUCUACUUCUCAAGAAAGUUGACCCCAAGGAAAUAUUCCUAGACGUCAGAUCAAGGUGCAGCAUAUGGGCUGGGGAUAGGUGAGCUACAAUGUUUGAAUAAACCAGCAAAAAUAGAAAUGAAAAACUCUCUAGAAGUUGGAUUCAGCAGUAAGCCCCAAAUAGAUAGUGGGGCUGAAAAGAGCUCUGGAAUGCGUACACAUCGCCCGUCACUCUCGCCUAGCUUGUCUAAGUAAGGGGAGAAAAGUCGUAACACAAUAGGCACACCGGAAGGUGUGCCUGGAAAAU
rnacentral:ncRNA from 1 species